UUGUAUUCCAAAGUUGUAUGAGAUUCCUAAAAAUCUGGUAUGUCUUGCUGUAUGUUAUUAGUCAUAAUUACAAUUAUGUUAAAUUGUUAUAGGCUGGCCAGGGGCAGUGGUUCAUGCCUGUAAACCCAGCACUUUGGGAGGCAAAGGCAGGAGGAUUGCUUAAGCCCAGGAAUUUGAGAUCAGCCUGGACAACAUGGUCAAGGAAGCUUUUCCUGAUCCACUAACUAAGGACAAUCAAACCCUUCAUGAUCUAGAAUCUGGAGACUGUGUCUUCUGGGAAUAGUAUCAGAGAAAGACUGCCCUUACUGCCCACAUGUAGCAAAACUUUGAGACGUUGAAUUAUGGGUCCAUAAUCUCACAACUCAGAGGGGCACCUCUAGACUCUUGGAACUGUAUAUCUAUUGGAGACUUUAAGGUAAAGCUGAACAGAGAGACGUUUUUCUCCAGAAGCAGACAGCACCAUAGUCAUGGACAGCUUUCCCAAGAUCACAGAUCAAGACUUCUCUGCCGUCAUGAGACUCAUAACCUCUUAAUUUUUUCUUGCUUAUGCUUCUGUGAACAAUAGAAUUGGAAAAGGGGUGGUCCCGCGUGCACCCAUAGGGUAUACUUUUAUUUGUGGAGGAUUUUGCUGCCAACCUUAUACAUGGGCAAACUUAUGCCUUCAUGGAUGGAAGAUAAAGGGCUAAUAUGGGUUAGAAAUUUUAAUGGUACCUUUGUUUCUCCAUAAUCAUUCAGAAACAGAACACUGGUCCACUCUUGUUAACCUACAUCAUAGGUUGAAGAGAACAUUGCCAGGAGGCCUUCAUCCUUCCAGAUGGGCACCAUUUGUUGGGUCUUUUUCCGUGGUAUGAAGAAAAUGAAGCAAUGAUUAGAAAUUGGUCCCUCGGCCGGGCACAAUGGCUCAUGCCUGUAAUCCCAUCACUUUGGCAGGCCGAGGCGGGUGGAUCACCUGAGGUCAGGAGUUUGAGACCAGCCUGACCAAUGUGGUGAAACGCCAUCUCUACUAAAAAUACAAAAAUUAGCUGGGUGUGAUGGUGCACACCUGUAAUCCAGCUACUCGGGAGGCUGAGACAGGAGAAUUGCUUGAACCUGGGAGGCAGAGGUUGCAGUGAGCCAAGAUCACCCCACUGCAUUCCAGGUUGGGCAACAGAGCAAGACUCUGUCUCAAAAAAAAAAGAAGAAAGAAAGAAAUUGAUCCCUCAUAAUAGGCUGUAUAGCAGAUUCUACUGCAAAGGCUAUGGUUGCACAACAGACUUCUUUGAAUUUGCUUGCUAAACUUUUACUGGAUAAUACUGGGAUUACAGGUGUGAGCCACUGUGCCCAGCCUCUCCUGUUUAACUGUAUUCAUUCUAAUGUUUACUUACUUCUUUAAUUUGUAAAAUUGGGUCACUUAGAGUUUUUUUAGCCUAUCUUGCCAUUUAGCCACUGUUACUGAUAAUUUGGAUGGAAAAGAAAAAUAAAUUAUAUCAC
rnacentral:lncRNA from 1 species